rnacentral:tRNA from 1 species
GGUGAGGUGUCCGAGUGGCUGAAGGAGCACGCUUGGAAAGUGUGUAUACGGCAACGUAUCGGGGGUUCGACAACUGGCGAUAGCCAGUUGGACAGACCGUGAACGCAGUGAGCGGGCUGCCCGCAGGGCGAGCGAAGCGAGUCAAUCCCCCCCCUCACCGCCA